AUUGAACGCUGGCGGCAUGCCUUACACAUGCAAGUCGAACGGACACGGGUGGAUCUUGAUCCUCUCGCGUUGCGGACGGGCGGGUGAGUAACCCGUAGAUGCCCAGCCUAUGGGGAUAACAUAACUACAGAGAAGCGAAUAUCGCACACGACAAGAUGUUGAAAGGCGGGGUUCACAAGUGCAAGCGGGAUUUGAGGUGCCUAAUAGAUGGAACCGAGUCGGAUUAGCUAGUUGGUAAGGUAACGGCGUACCAAGGCAACGAUGUGUAGACGACCUGAGAGGACGACCAGCCACACUGGAACUGAGACACGGCCCAGACUCCUACGGGAGGCAGCAGUAGGGAAUUUUCCACAAUGGGCGAAAGCCUGACCGAGCAAUGCCGCGUGAGGGAUGAAGGCCUUCGGAUCGUAAACUUCUGUUAUCAGGGAAGAAAAAUUCUGGACUAAACCCUGCGCGUCAUGACGGUACCUGAAGAGAAAGCAACGGCUAACUACGUG
rnacentral:rRNA from 1 species